CUCAUCAUUCAUUUGUUCCGUUCCUUAAGUCGAACCCAAACCCAAGAAAAAUGAAAUUCAUUCUUGUUCUUGCGAUGCUACUGGCCGUUGCCUACGCAGUGCCUAGCGAGGAGAUCGCCUCCCAGCUGGCUGCCAUUGGGGAAGCCAUCGAGAACAACCCGGAGCUGGCCAACGGAUGGCUGGGUAAGGCCUGGAACUGGGUGAAGAGCAACAAGGAUUCGCUCGGUCAGAUCGCUGGAGGAAUUUUGAGCUUGGGAUAAGUCGUUCAUCGGACGAAUUUUAACGAACGGAUAAUUAUUUGACCGUGAGCUACACUGACUGUGGUGUGAAGAUUUCCAUGUUUGUUUAGUGUUGGCGUGGUGAAAUAAAAUUGUUUAACAAAAAUAA